rnacentral:tRNA from 1 species
UACAUUUUAGUAUAAGAUGUACGUUAGUUUUUGAUACUAAAAGUGGCUGUUUAAUUCAUUCAAAUGUAA